rnacentral:rRNA from 1 species
UACGUAGGGGGCAAGCGUUAUCCGGAUUUACUGGGUGUAAAGGGAGCGUAGACGGCAGCGCAAGUCUGGAGUGAAAUGCCGGGGCUCAACCCCGGAACUGCUUUGGAAACUGUGCAGCUAGAGUGCGGGGGAGGUAAGCGGAAUUCCUAGUGUAGCGGUGAAAUGCGUAGAUAUUAGGAGGAACACCAGUGGCGAAGGCGGCUUACUGGACCGUAACUGACGUUGAGGCUCGAAAGCGUGGGGAGCAAACAGG